UGAGGAAUAUUGGUCAAUGGGCGCGAGCCUGAACCAGCCAAGUAGCGUGAAGGAUGAAGGUCCUACGGAUUGUAAACUUCUUUUAUAAGGGAAUAAAGUCACCCACGUGUGGGUGUUUGUAUGUACCUUAUGAAUAAGCAUCGGCUAACUCCGUGCCAGCAGCCGCGGUAAUACGGAGGAUGCGAGCGUUAUCCGGAUUUAUUGGGUUUAAAGGGAGCGUAGACGGGCCGUUAAGUCAGCUGUGAAAGUUUGAGGCUCAACCUUAAAAUUGCAGUUGAUACUGGCGUCCUUGAGUACGGUUGAGGCAGGCGGAAUUCGUGGUGUAGCGGUGAAAUGCUUAGAUACCACGAAGAACUCCGAUUGCGAAGGCAGCCUGCUAAGCUGCAACUGACAUUGAGGCUCGAAAGUGUGGGUAUCAAACAGGAUUAGAUACCCUGGUAGUCCACACGGUAAACGAUGAAUACUCGCUGUUUGCGAUAUACUGCAAGCGGCCAAGCGAAAGCGUUAAGUAUUCCACCUGGGGAGUACGCCGGCAACGGUGAAACUCAAAGGAAUUGACGGGGGCCCGCACAAGCGGAGGAACAUGUGGUUUAAUUCGAUGAUACGCGAGGAACCUUACCCGGGCUUAAAUUGCAGAUGAAUUACGGUGAAAGCCGUAAGCCGCAAGGCAUCUGUGAAGGUGCUGCAUGGUUGUCGUCAGCUCGUGCCGUGAGGUGUCGGCUUAAGUGCCAUAACGAGCGCAACCCUUGUUGUCAGUUACUAACAGGUUCCGCUGAGGACUCUGACAAGACUGCCAUCGUAAGAUGUGAGGAAGGUGGGGAUGACGUCAAAUCAGCACGGCCCUUACGUCCGGGGCUACACACGUGUUACAAUGGGGGGUACAGAGGGCCGCUACCACGCGAGUGGAUGCCAAUCCCCAAAACCUCUCUCAGUUCGGACUGGAGUCUGCAACCCGACUCCACGAAGCUGGAUUCGCUAGUAAUCGCGCAUCAGCCACGGCGCGGUGAAUACGUUCCC
rnacentral:rRNA from 1 species